GACGAACGCUGGCGGCGUGCCUAAUACAUGCAAGUAGAACGCUGGAGGAGGAGCUUCCUUCUCUUGAUGAGUUGCGAACGGGUGAGUAACGCGUAGGUAACCUGCCUGGUAGUGGGGGAUGACUAUUGGAAACGAUAGCUAAUACCGCAUAACAUUGACUAUUGCAUGAUAAUCAGGUGAAAUGUGCAACUUCACCACUACCAGGUGGACCUGCGUUGUAUUAGCUAGUUGGUGGGGUAACGGCUCACCAAGGCGACGGUGCAUAGCCGAGCUGGGAAGGUGGACGGCCACACUGGGACUGGGACCAGGCCCAGAAUCCUUAGGGAAGGAGCAGUAGGGGAUCUUCGGCCAUGGGGGGAAGUCUGGCCGAAGCAAGCCGCGGGAGUGGAGAAAGUUUUCGGAUCGUAAAGGUCUGUUGUAAGAGAAGAAAGAGCGGGAGGGUAGAAAGCUCACAUUGUGACGGUACCUUAACAGAAAGCAACGGCUAACUACGUG
rnacentral:rRNA from 1 species